CCAUAUCAUUUUGAAAUACCUGUUCUCAUUCAAUCACCACCAAAGUUAAGCAACAUUGAGCCUGGUCAGUACACAGAUUGGUGACUGCUGGGGAAUACCAUGUGCUGUAAG